GGAGUCUGGUCCGUGUCUCAGUACCAGUGUGGGGGUUUAGCCUCUCAGCUCCCCUAGACAUCGUCGCCUUGGUAAGCCGUUGCCUUACCAACUAGCUAAUGUCACGCAUGCCCAUCCCGUACCACCGAAGCUUUAGUCACCGGACCAUGCGAUCCAGUGACUCCAUGGGAUAUUAGUGGAAAUUUCUCUCCGUUAUCCCCCUGUACAGGGUAGGUUGCAUACGCGUUACGCACCCGUGCGCCGGUCGCCAUCAAGAGUUGCAAGCAACUCCCAUGCUGCCCCUCGACUUGCAUGUGUUAAGCCUGUAGCUAGCGUUCAUCCUGAGCCAUGAUCAUACUCU
rnacentral:rRNA from 1 species